rnacentral:rRNA from 1 species
AUUGCCCAGUACGGCGAGUGAAGCGGCAAAAGCUCAAUUUUGAAAUCCCCCCGGGGAGUUGUAAUUUGAAGACUAGGGGAUUUGGCCCAAACCUGCGCAAGUCCAUUGGAACAUGGCGCCCAAGAGGGUGAGAGCCCCGUCGCGCAGGCCGCAGCCUUGACAUCCCCCCGUCAAAGAGUCGAGUUGUUUGGGAAUGCAGCUCAAAGUGGGUGGUAAAUUCCAUCUAAAGCUAAAUAUUGGCGAGAGACCGAUAGCGAACAAGUACAGUGAUGGAAAGAUGAAAAGCACUUUGAAAAGAGAGUGAAACAGUACGUGAAAUUGUUGAAAGGGAAGGGCUUGCAAGCAGACACGAGUUCGCUCGGGCCAGCAUCAAUUUCGCGAGGUGGACAACACGCCAGGAAUGUGGCAGGCUCCGGCCUGUGUUAUAGCCUGCGCGCCAUACACCUCCGCGAGAUUGAGGCCUGCUCCAAAAGGAUGCUGGCGUAAUGGUUGCAAGUCGCCCGUCUUGA